CAACUACUCCCUUUGUCCCAAAUUUCUUGUCUUAGAUUUGUCUAGAUACGGAUGUAUCUAAUACUAAAAUGUGACUUGAUACAUCUGUAUCUAGAAAAAUCUAAGACAAGAAUUUUGGAACGAAGGGAGUACUUU
rnacentral:pre_miRNA from 1 species